rnacentral:rRNA from 1 species
GGGCUCUCCUAACGCCUAGCACAUGCAAGUCGAGCGGUAGAGAGAAGCUUGCUUCUCUUGAGAGCGGCGGACGGGUGAGUAAUGCCUAGGAAUCUGCCUGGUAGUGGGGGAUAACGUUCGGAAACGGACGCUAAUACCGCAUACGUCCUACGGGAGAAAGCAGGGGACCUUCGGGCCUUGCGCUAUCAGAUGAGCCUAGGUCGGAUUAGCUAGUUGGUGAGGUAAUGGCUCACCAAGGCGACGAUCCGUAACUGGUCUGAGAGGAUGAUCAGUCACACUGGAACUGAGACACGGUCCAGACUCCUACGGGAGGCAGCAGUGGGGAAUAUUGGACAAUGGGCGAAAGCCUGAUCCAGCCAUGCCGCGUGUGUGAAGAAGGUCUUCGGAUUGUAAAGCACUUUAAGUUGGGAGGAAGGGCAGUUACCUAAUACGUGAUUGUUUUGACGUUACCGACAGAAUAAGCACCGGCUAACUCUGUGCCAGCAGCCGCGGUAAUACAGAGGGUGCAAGCGUUAAUCGGAAUUACUGGGCGUAAAGCGCGCGUAUGUGGUUAGUUAAGUUGGAUGUGAAAUCCCCGGGCUCAACCUGGGAACUGCGUUCAAAACUGACUGACUAAAGUAUGGUAGAGGGUGGUGGAGUUUCCUGUGUAGGGGCUGAAAUGCGUAUAUAUACGAAGGAACACCAGUGGCGAAGGCGGGCACCUGGACUGAUACUGACCCUCAGGUGCGAAAACAUGGGGGAGCAAACAAGAGUAGAUACCCCGCUAGUCCACGCCGUAUAAAUAUAAACUAAACCCUUUGGGAGGCGUGAGCUGAUAUUGGCGGCGCCCCACACAAUAAAUUUAACUCCCCCGGGAGUACAGCCCCCCCCCCUGAAGACUCACAUGAGUUUAAUGGGGGCGGGCGCCAACCAGUGGAGCAUGUGGUUUUUUUUCUAAACAACAACAAAAAACAAUACCCCGCCCUGGGUUCAACAACCUUUUAGAAAAAAAUAGAUGGCGUGGGUGCACAUAGGAAAAAGAGAUACCGGGCCGUCUUCAACAUAUUUUGUUCGUUGUUUGGAUAAGUUGGGGUUAACUAACACAAAACCAACUUCUUCCUUUACACAGCAUUUAGUCGUUUCUCUCCACUCAACAUCCGAGGCAAACAACCCCGCACGAAAGUCAGGGAAGGAAGGAUGGAGGGAUCAAGUGUUCCUUAU